rnacentral:rRNA from 1 species
GACGAACGCUGGCGGCGUGCCUAAUACAUGCAAGUUGAGCGCUGAAGGUUGGUACUUGUACCAACUGGAUGAGCAGCGAACGGGUGAGUAACGCGUGGGGAAUCUGCCUUUGAGCGGGGGACAACAUUUGGAAACGAAUGCUAAUACCGCAUAAAAACUUUAAACACAAGUUUUAAGUUUGAAAGAUGCAAUUGCAUCACUCAAAGAUGAUCCCGCGUUGUAUUAGCUAGUUGGUGAGGUAAAGGCUCACCAAGGCGAUGAUACAUAGCCGACCUGAGAGGGUGAUCGGCCACAUUGGGACUGAGACACGGCCCAAACUCCUACGGGAGGCAGCAGUAGGGAAUCUUCGGCAAUGGACGAAAGUCUGACCGAGCAACGCCGCGUGAGUGAAGAAGGUUUUCGGAUCGUAAAACUCUGUUGGUAGUGAAGAACGUUGGUGAGAGUGGAAAGCUCAUCAAGUGACGGUAACUACCCAGAAAGGGACGGCUAACUACGU